rnacentral:misc_RNA from 1 species
AACCUAGCACACCUGCGGUGUGUACCUGCGGAAGGAUCAUUACCGAGUCACGUGCUCAAAUAACCCUUCUGUGGACCUGAAAUAAAACCGUUGCCUCGGCGGGCGGUCCCCCCAACCAAACCCCACGUGGUGGGUUAGGGGACCAGACAGUCCGGCACGCUUAAGGCGUCCGGCGCCAGCCGCUGGCCCCAAACAACUAAACUCUAGUAACCUUUACCUUCUGAGUUUCAAUAUUUUAAA